CCUACGAGAGACAGCAGUGAGGAAUAUUGGUCAAUGGGCGGGAGCCUGAACCAGCCAAGCCGCGUGAGGGAAGAAGGUACAGCGUAUCGUAAACCUCUUUUGUCAGGGAACAAAGGCGGGGACUAGUCCCCGUAUGAGGGUACCUGAAGAAAAAGCAUCGGCUAAAAACGUGCCAGCAGCCGCGGUAAUACGGAGGAUGCGAGCGUUAUCCGGAUUUAUUGGGUUAAAAGGGUGCGCAGGCGGCCAGUUAAGUCAGCGGUAAAGGCCAGGGGCUCAACCCCGGCGAGCCGUUGAAACUGGCGGGCUGGAGUUGGAGAGAGGUACGCGGAAUGCGCGGUGUAGCGGUGAAAUGCUUAGAUAUCGCGCAGAACCCCGAUUGCGAAGGCAGCGUACCGGCUACACACUGACGCUGAGGCGCGAAAGCGUGGGUAUCGAACAGGAUUAGAUACCCCAGUAGUC
rnacentral:rRNA from 1 species